UUAAGAUACAAAAUCACUCUUACAUAAUUAUUACCUUUCAAUACUCUACAAUCUAUGUUAGAUCACAUUAACUAUUUUUAAUGUGAUACAUCAUCCAACUUAUCCACAAUCACAUUUAAUAUACUUCUAGUUACAACUCUAAACAUAUUCAUCUAGAUGUCAUUAUAAAAAUAUAAAUAACCACUCAAUAGUUGUAUAUUUUGUACUUUGAUUUCUUUUCUAAUCUAAAUUUGUCAAUGUGUAACUUAGUCCUAGUAUACUUUACUACCCUUAGGGACUUUUGAGAUACACCACCUCACAAAA
rnacentral:lncRNA from 1 species